GCCGGAGUGGUGAAAUUGGUAGACGCACGGGACUCAAAAUCCCGCGGGGGCGACCCCGUCUCGGUUCGAUUCCGAGCUCCGGCACCA
rnacentral:tRNA from 2 species